CCCCCCACGCAAAAAAAAAAAAAAAAGAGCGCUCAUGUGAUUCCAGAAGAAAGAAGAAAUGAAAUAGGUUUUUGAUCCAAAUGAAAUUUCAAGCAAUUGUCGAUGAUGUACUGCAUUGAAUGUUGGUUGAAAACUCUUCCUCUUUAUCAUGAUUGUCUCAUUUCAAUGUGCGUUGUUGAAUACUGACCCGUAAUUUACCUCUCUGUUUUCGAGUCAAGAUGCUAAUAAUGAUACUAGCAGAGUAAUGGACAAUACAAAAUAGAGUACGGCAACACUGGACACUUAAAAGCCACGGCCUGCAGGGCUCCGGUUCUCUGCCUUUUGCUUACGCUGUCGGUGGCCGUGCUCCAAUCUUCAUCUGAGGAAUUAUCGUCAUAAGGCCUUGUGUCCUCGCUUGUCCUGUUAAAUUCAUCGUAGUGCAUGGAGAUGAAAGCGGGGGCACGAAUACACUCAAACAGAAGUAAAGCGCUGUGAUCCGAGAUUUUUGUCAAAAGGUCUAGCUCGAGAAGAUGAGGAAUUUCGUGAUGGCCCUUGUCCUUGUUUUCAUUCUUAGGCUACGCAUAGCGAUCCCAGUAGGCUCUUUGCAAGAGGAUCAAAGUAAUUUCUCUGCCUUCCAUUGAGGUUUGAGAGCAAGGGAUUAUUGCCUUUCUUGUCUCUACGCAAUAAUCAUUAAGAAAAACAUACCUGAAUUCAUUAUUGAAUCAAACUGGAGAGUGAGAUUGGGUGCAGUUCAUGGCUAUACAGCCGGUAUCCAAAUUAGUGUGUAGCUGAAUGGUCUUUUGCUUCAGUUUCUAAGCAAUUGACGUCUGUUAAGACAAGAACAGGAUUGUUUGAUGCCAGGCUGGCAACGGCAAGCUGAGUGCCUCUAUAUUUCAGGGCCUGGCCCGUCUUGAAUUUCUGGGCCAAGCCGUUGCUCAACCUUUAUGGACUCAGAGAAGGGCAACUUCAUAUCUUUCUCAGAAGUUUCAAUUUCACCUUACUAAUGAAAAACUCACUUUUUGAUUUU